rnacentral:rRNA from 1 species
UCAAAUUCUGCCGUGCACACAAUCAAUAAUCGCCACUUUCUGUCUGCACCACGUUCUUCACGCUGGGCAGCGAGCCGGCAGAUCCUCCAUGCUUUGCCCGCCGCCGCGCCUCUGACCUCUCCUCCUCCUCCCCGCCCAGCCGGUGCCGCCGCCGCUGCUUCCCGCGGAAUAAUAAUAAAAAGUAGCCCCCGAUAAAACGGGCCGGCCGCCUCCCUCGGCCCCGACCCGCACGCCACGCGGGACUCACCCACCCUCCCCUUCCCUCGCCCCUCCCUCCCUCUCCCUCCCUAGGAUGCGCGCCUCCCCCCGCCUCCUCCGGCCGGAACCCUAGCCAGGCGUGCAGGCGCGCAGCAGGCGGGGCCCCCGCGCCGCGCCGCGCCGAGCCGAUGGGGAGGCCGGGGUACCUGACGCUGCCCAUCUUCGCGGUGCUCGCCGCGAUCGGCUACGUCUACUACACCACGGUCUUCGUCGCCGUCGCCGGCUGGCUCGGCCUCUCCACGGCCGCCGGGGUCGCCAACGCCGCCGCCUUCACGGCCCUCGCCGCCGCCUGCCUCGCCACCUACUACGCCGCCGUCUCCCGGGACCCCGGCCGGGUGCCGCCCGCCUUCCUGCCCGACGUCGAGGGCGCCGAGACCCCCGUCCACGAGGUCAAGCGCAAGGGUGGUGAUUUGAGAUACUGCCAGAAAUGUGGCCACUAUAAGCCCCCACGCGCACACCAUUGCCGUGUGUGCAAGAGAUGUGUUCUGAAAAUGGACCAUCACUGUAUUUGGAUUAAUAACUGUGUUGGGCACGAAAACUACAAGAUAUUCUUGGUCUUUGUAUUGUAUGCUGUAAUUGCAAGCUUCUAUUCAAUGAUUCUAAUUGUGGGGAGCGUCAUUCACAGUGCUCCGAAAGAUGAACAGUUAAGCAGUGAUUCUUCUAGAACAUUGAUUAUUAUUUGUGGGAUCAUUCUUUGUCCAUUAACUCUGGCGCUGUCGGUGCUCUUGGGCUGGCAUAUCCACCUCAUAUUACAGAAUAAAACUACAAUUGAGUACCAUGAAGGAGUUAGAGCAAUGUGGUUGGCAGAAAAGGGUGGAGACCUUUAUCAUCAUCCAUAUGACCUUGGUGUCUAUGAGAAUCUUAUUUCGGUGCUUGGGCGUAGCAUAUUCUGCUGGCUCUGCCCAGUAUCAGUCAAUACAGGCAAUGGCCUACGGUUCCGUGCAUCAUAUGAUAUUUUACCAUCUACACCGCCAUGUGAUUUACAAAAGAUAGCAUUACAUUCACAUUGAGGUACAUAGUUGCUAAUAUGAGAAAGGGGAUUGAUAUUCCUAUUCAAGUGCCCAAAGUAUACCAUUUCUGAGCCAUUUCGGAUCGUAACAGGUUAGCGGAUACUUCUUAAAACCCUCAAAUGUAAGAUAUGAGAAAAGAUGCCUCCGGAUCCAGAAGUAUUUCCACCUCUCCAGGGUUUCGUUUUGAGAUGGUCGUAUUUCCAGUAUGAGGAAGAUGACUGCUGCCUCAGCUCAUAAUCCGGUCUCAGCUGUGUUUGUACACAAAAAGCUUAACCCUUCGUGUUGUAAAGUAAAUGUACAUGCUGUGUUCGGAAGCAAAAGCAUAUCAAAGCAAAUUUUGCUGAGAUGCACGUCUGUUCAGAAGUAAAUGUCACAUGUGCUGUAUACAUCUGCAAUUACAUUAUCAGACACGGAAAUGUCAUUGCUGUGCAGUAAAAAUGACUCGGUCAGAAGAGUUGACAUUUCAUAUCUUGUGUAAAAGCCAGGAGAAGAUUGCUGUAAUUAUUUAGUGUUUUCAGUACGGCUGGUGCUGGGCAACAUAGGCCAUGUAGCAUCCCCCAAAGCACAGUAGCCAAUAAGCAAUCUUCUUGCAGUCUGAUGCUUCGUGCAGAUUAUUUUCUAGGUUACAACAGUCGGCACUCAGCAGCAAAUGCAACUACUAAUACAUCAGUUGGGAGUAAUCUAUUUGCCCUUUCCUUUUCCCUUGCCCUUCUUGGCGUCAAGUUUGGCUUGCACACGAGCCGCUGCCGCGGCCUUUGCCUCCUCCCUCUUCUUCUUCUCUUCCUCUUUGGUGGCAGCAGCCAGCUCCCGCUGUUUCUUAAGCUCCCUAUCAAAAUUUAUGCAUAAAAAAUCAUGUACUUUUUAACAAUCACAAGGAUGCUACAAAAUGGAUAAUAGACAUGAUACGUAGCUCUCAAGAAUUCCAAUAUGAUGUCCCACGCUGUUUAACAUAAUUAUUGGGUACUAACUUCUGUAUUAGAAAAAAAAUGCCAAAACUGGCUUAACUGUACUACUGACCAAAAACACAGCAAAAGCUCCACUAACCCCAUAGAAACAGAAAAAAAAGGGCAAAAACACUUGAAAAUGGAGGAUUAAAAAAGCUAUGGUUGUCUAGAGAUGUUAUGGGGUGGACGAGCAUUCAGAGGCCGAGUUCUGAACUCCUUAGCUCCCUGCCAAGUGCCAACCUCCACAGAUCAGCUUCAUUGAGGAUUUUGUCGACCACCAUCUGAUUAUUGGGUACUUGAUGCGUUAAAUAUAAAAGAGGAAACACUUGGAGAUGUCUUACUCUAGCCUGGCUUUCUCAUCAGAUACACUGCCCAGACUUGAACCUUUCCUUGGCUUGCAAGCAACUAAUUCCACCUCAAAAAUGAGUGUUGCACUGCAGAAACAAAGCAAACCUUGUUACAGAAACUUCUGGCCUCGGGAUGCUUACAACUUCAGUCAAUCAAGAGGUGAAAUGGCAAACAAACUUCGCUGGUAUCUCUGGCGGCGAGCCUGGACUUCCAUACGCAUAUUCCGGCCUGCAUGUUAUUUUUGCAAUCUCGCCAACCUUCAACAUGCCG